rnacentral:rRNA from 1 species
ACUACGCUGGCGGCGUGCUUAACACAUGCAAGUCGAACGGACAUUAUCGAAAAGUUUACUUGGAGGUAAUGUUAGUGGCGGACGGGUGAGUAACACGUGGAUAAUCUGCCUGUAGCGCCGGGAUAACAUUGUGAAAACGAUGCUAAUACCGGAUACGUUCCCCGGAUCGCAUGGAAUGGGGAAGAAAGAGCAAUCGGUUACAGAUGAGUCCGCGGCUGAUUAGCUGGUUGGUGGGGUAACGGCCUACCAAGGCGACGAUCAGUAGCCGGCCUGAGAGGGUGAACGGCCACACUGGGACUGAGACACGGCCCAGACUCCUACGGGAGGCAGCAGUGGGGAAUCUUCCGCAAUGGGCGAAAGCCUGACGGAGCAACGCCGCGUGAGUGAAGAAGGCCUUCGGGUUGUAAAGCUCUGUCUUCAGGGAAGAAAGAAAUGACGGUACCUGAGGAGGAAGCCACGGCUAACUACGUG